GAUCAUGGCUCAGGAUGAACGCUAGCGGCAGGCUUAACACAUGCAAGUCGAGGGGCAGCAUGAAGGUUAGCAAUAACCUUUGAUGGCGACCGGCGCAAGGGUGCGUAACGCGUGAGCAACUUGCCCGUUUCAGGGGGAUAACCGGUGGAAACGCCGACUAAUACCCCAUAGUAUCAUUUUAAGGCAUCUUUUAAUGAUUAAAGAAUUUCGGAAACGGAUAGGCUCGCGUGACAUUAGCUAGAUGGCGGGGUAACGGCCCACCAUGGCGACGAUGUCUAGGGGUUCUGAGAGGAAGGUCCCCCACACUGGAACUGAGACACGGUCCAGACUCCUACGGGAGGCAGCAGUGAGGAAUAUUGGUCAAUGGUCUGACGACUGAACCAGCCAUGCCGCGUGAAGGUCACGGCCCUAUGGGUCUUAAACUUCUUUUGUUAGGGAGCAAUAAGUUCUACGUGUAGGAUGAUGAGAGUACCUAACGAAUAAGCAUCGGCUAACUCCGUG
rnacentral:rRNA from 1 species